rnacentral:misc_RNA from 1 species
GUGGGUCUGGCCCCUCUUUACUUCCGUUUCGGAGUCGCACUAAUUUUGCCAAUUUUUAUUCUUGUUCUUGUUUUUAUUCUUUAUUUACUGUUCAUACUCUGUCCUUUUUCGCUGCUAUUAGUCUAUUCACUCAUCUUCAGCCAUUUACUAUCAUCAUCUUCUGUAUUUUUCUUUCGUUUCCUCUCCAUUUUGGGUAUUGCUCUUUACCUUUUCUUUUUCUUGUAUUUUUGUUGGGUUUUUACUGGUAUAAUUCGUGCUUCUAUCUCCAUGAAUUUUAUGUUUCUUUCUCAAGAAUGUUGUGUUAUGAUUGAUAUUACUUGCUUUGUUGCUAUU